GAUGAACGCUGGCGGCGUGCCUAAUACAUGCAAGUCGAGCGAACAGACGAGGAGCUUGCUCCUCUGACGUUAGCGGCGGACGGGUGAGUAACACGUGGAUAACCGACCUAUAAGACUGGGAUAACUUCGGGAAACCGGAGCUAAUACCGGAUAAUAUAUUGAACGGCAUGGUUCAAUAGUGAACGACGGUUUUGCUGUCACUUAUAGAUGGAUCCGGGCCGCAUUAGCUAGUGGGUAAGGGAACGGCUUACCAAGGCGACGAUGCGUAGCUGACCUGAGAGGAUGAUCGGGCACAGUGGAACUGAGACACGGUCCAGACUCGUACGGGAGGCAGCAGUGGGGAAUAUUGGACAAUAGGCGAAAGCCUGAUACAGCCAUGCCGCGUGUGUGAAGAAGGUCUUCGGAUUGUAAAGCACUUUAAGUUGGGAGGAAGGAAAGUAAGUUAAUACCUAGAUGUUUUGACGUUACCAAAAGAAUAAGCAACGGCUAACUUGGUG
rnacentral:rRNA from 1 species